CAGUAGCCACGGUAAUACGAAGGGGGCUAGCGUUGUUCGGAAUCACUGGGCGUAAAGGGUGCGUAGGCGGGAUCUUAAGUCAGGGGUGAAAUCCCGAGGCUCAACCUCGGAACUGCCUUUGAUACUGGGGUCCUUGAGUCCGGAAGAGGUGAGUGGAACUGCGAGUGUAGAGGUGAAAUUCGUAGAUAUUCGCAAGAACACCGGUGGCGAAGGCGGCUCACUGGUCCGGAACUGACGCUGAGGCACGACAGCGUGGGGAGCGAACAGGAUUAGAUACCCCUGUAGUCCCUGUCUCUUAUAC
rnacentral:rRNA from 1 species